rnacentral:rRNA from 1 species
GGGGUAAAAUUAAAAAAUUAUAAUUAAUAAAAAAAAUUUUAAUAUUAAAAAUAAAUAAAUGGGGGUUUAAGUAUUUUUAAUAGAAAAAAUUAAUAUUUUUAUAGUUAAAUAUUACUGUAAAGGAAUGUAUAAAAUAAUUGAAAUAAAAAUUAAUUAAAAAGUAAAUUUAAUUUAUUGUAUCUUGUGUAUCAGAGUUUAUUAAAUAAUAAUAAUUUAGUUAAAUAAAUCUCGAAUUUAAAAGAGUUAAUUAAUUAAAAAAUUUAAUGUUGUAUAAUUAUUUUUAAUAAUUAAUUAGAAAUGAAAUGUUAAUCGUUUUUAAAUAUAUCUAGUUUUUUUAGAAAAAAAUUUAAUUUAAAAUUAAAAUAAUUUUAUAAUUAUUUAAUUAAUUAUGAAAAUUUGGAAUUUAAUAUUUUAGGGGAUAAGCUUUAAAUUAAAAAUUUAUAAUUAAAUUUAUUAUAAAUUAAAAUUUUUAAUAUUUAUAUUGUUUAAAAAUUAUAAUUUAUUAUAAAAAAUUUUAAUAAAAAAUAAAAUUUAAAAUAAAAAUUUAAAUUUUUAUAAAAAAAUAAUUUAUAAUUAAAUAAAAUUAGUAAUAAUGAUAAAAUUAGUAUAAUAUAUAUAUAUAUAUAUAUAUAAUUUAAAUAAAAAUUUAUUAGAAAAUAAAUUAAAGGAAUUCGGCAAAAAUUUAUGUUCACUUGUUUAUCAAAAACAUGUCUUUUUGAUUUUAAUUUAAAGUCUAAUCUGCCCACUGAUAUUAUAAAUUAAAGGGCUGCAGUAUAUUGACUGUACAAAGGUAGCAUAAUCAUUAGUCUUUUAAUUGAAGACUUGUAUGAAAGAUUUGAUGAGAUAUAAACUGUCUCUAUUUUAAAAUUAGAAAUUAAUUUUUUAGUAAAAAAGCUAAAAUAAGAUUAAAAGACGAGAAGACCCUAUAGAGUUUUAUAUUUUAUUUUUUUUUUAUAAAAAUUUAUAAUUAAUUAGGAAAUAAAAUAAAGUAUUUUAUUGGGGUGAUAGAAAAAUUUAAUAAACUUUUUUUAUUUUUUAACAUAAAUAAGUGAAUUAUUGAUCCAUUAUUGAUGAUUAAAAGAAAAAAUUACCUUAGGGAUAACAGCGUAAUAUUUUUUUUUAGUACGAAUAAAAAAAAAAGUUUGCGACCUCGAUGUUGGAUUAAGAUAAAAUUUAAAUGCAGAAGUUUAAAAUUUUGAUCUGUUCGAUCAUUAAAAUCUUACAUGAUCUGAGUUCAAACCGGUGUGAGCCAGGUUGGUUUCUAUCUUUAAUAAAUAAAAAUAUUUUAGUACGAAAGGAUUAAAUAUUUAAAAUAAUUUUAUUUAUUUGAAUAUUAUUAAAUGUGAAUUUA